GCAAGACCAGUAUACAAUGUGCCAGGGUCAUCUAUGCUGAGAAGGGCUGAGUGGGCUGCAGACACAUCGACAAUGGAGUUCCCUCUGAGCACCUGAGACGGCUGUGCUGGGGACUCCUGAGCAGAGGCCAAUGCAGCCAACUUGCAUUUAAGGGCCCGCUGGCUGUCGUGGAAGUGCCUGGAUACUCAGGAAGAGCUACAAGCGUCUGGAGGCGGCCCAAGGGUGCA
rnacentral:lncRNA from 1 species